rnacentral:rRNA from 1 species
AACAAUGGCCGGUACAGAGAGCAGCCACCCCGCGAGGGGAGCGAAUCUACAAAAACCGGUCUCAGUUCGGAUCGCAGUCUGCAACUCGACUGCGUGAAGCUGGAAUCGCUAGUAAUCGCGCAUCAGCCAUGGCGCGGUGAAUACGUUCCCGGGCCUUGUACACACCGCCCGUCAAGCCAUGGAAGUCUGGGGGACCUGAAGACGGUAACCGCAAGGAGCCGUUAAGGGUAAAACAGGUAACUAGGGCUAAGUCGUAACAAGGUAAC